GGUGCCAGCAGCCGCGGUAAUUCCAGCUCCAAUAGCGUAUAUUAAAGUUGUUGCAGUUAAAAAGCUCGUAGUUGAAUUUCGAGGUCAAUAUGUUGGUCGUGCCUCGGUACGUACUUGCAUCAUUGAUUUCUACCUUCUGAUGAACCAUGAUGCCAUUAGUUUGGUGUUGUGGGGAAUCAGGACUGUUACUUUGAAAAAAUUAGAGUG
rnacentral:rRNA from 1 species